GACGAACGCUGGCGGCGUGCUUAACACAUGCAAGUCGAGCGGUAAGGCCCUUUCGGGGGUACGACGAGCGGCGAACGGGUGAGUAACACGUGGGUGACCUGCCCUCAGCUCUGGGAUAAGCCUGGGAAACCGGGUCUAAGUACUGGAUAUGACUCCAUGACGCAUGUUGUGGGGUGGAAAGCCUUGUGCGGCUGAGGAUGGGCCCGCGGCCUAUCAGCUUGUUGGUGGGGUGAU
rnacentral:rRNA from 1 species